rnacentral:snoRNA from 2 species
UGGCCGGUGAUGAAACUCUGCAAUAAAAUACACCAUCUUUCGGGGCUGAUUGGCUCUCUGAGCCAUGCUGUCACACUGCAAUUAAUUCUGAGGCCA